CGUGUACAUGCUGACUGCAGACGCGGUACUGGCUUGAGGAUGUGACGUCACUAUUGAGUGAAAGCGUCGGCAAAGCUGAAAGUCUGUGUGAAGAGACCCGCUGUACUUACCAGAACUUGACUGAGGCGUGCUUGAGGCUGAUCCCCCUGCAGAGUAAUUUUUUGGAUCUAGAAAACAUCAAGGUAAAGAGACAGCUCUCUGUUGCCUGCCAGAUUUGUCUGUCCGACUCGCGCUCCGGCCCCCUGUGACAACAACCUUCGGAAGUAUUCUGUCCCUGACCUGCUCCUCCCAACUGUUAAAUCGUACCGUCUUUGAUGUGGAGCGCAUUAGUGACAUUUUCCUUUUCACCAGCGCCCUGCAAUCAUAAUACCUAUAAAUAAACAUUCAGCUAGAUUACGAGUUUUGCGUUAUGUGUAAAAAAGCCUCAUAAUGCUGCUUUUUCACUACCGCUGCUAUUACGAGUCUUGUAGGUAUAGCUGUAACGCACACUUUUUUGGCCGUAACACAACGUAAUUACCGCACCUUUCAAAAAGUCCUUUUUCAAUGGGACUUCCAUAACGCCGGAAUUACGAGUUUUGCCUGGGAAGUCAAAAUGUGAGUGGUACAGCCUAUACCGACAAGAUUCAUACCGCCAUCUAAAGUCAGUAGUUAUGGGUUUUGCGCUACAAAGCUGUAGCAUAAAACUCAUAACUAAAGUGUUACAAAGUGCACUAACACCCAUAAACUACCUAUUAACCCCUAAACCGAGGCCCCCCGCAUCUCAAACACUAAAAUAAAAUGAUUAACCCCUAAUCUGCCACUCCAGACAUUGCCGCCACUAUAAUAAACAUAUUAACCCCUAAACCGCUGCACUCCCGCAUCGCAAACACUAGUUAAAUAUUAACUCCUAAUCUGCCGCCCCCAACAUCACCGCCACCACUAUACUAAAGUUAUUAACCCAUAAACCUAACCCUAAGUC